CCGCUGCACUCCAGCCUGGGUGAUAGAGCAAGACUCAGUCUCAAAAAAAAAUAAAUAAAAAAUAAAAAAUAAAGCCACAUAGUUAGUAGUAAAUUGUGAUGGCAGCCAUAAGAAACAAACACCUGUCUCUCAGCCUAUCACUCAUCUAUCCACACACAUUCAUUGUUCUCUUCCCUGUACCUAUUACGCCAGUGCCAGAUAAAUUCUUCCUUAACACUGUGGUUCUUGGACUUGGCCAAGUUCAAACCAAGGCCUGGGUCCCACCUGCAGAUAUUCUCAUUUAAUUCGCCUGGGGUGUGGCUUAGGCAUUAGGAUUUUUUUUUUUAAUCUCCCAAGUAAUUCUAGUGUGAAGCCAAAAUUGAGAAUUCCUGCUUUCAGGCAAAGAAAUCUUCCCAUUCCCCUGCUCCGGAAUCCCCAUUGACUGUGUCCUGCCUACCAGAUAAAACGUGAUACCAGCAAACACUCACAUGCUGCUCUACAACGUCCAAAGUGCAUUCAAGUGCAUGCAUUAUGAAGAUCUUUACCAGAUGAGGAAAGCACCAGUUUCAUGCUCCUCUGUCCUCGCUCAUCAGCGCUGGCGCAGCCGCCGAGUCUUCUA
rnacentral:lncRNA from 1 species